UUAUAAUCCAAUCACCAGGUUAAUUAUAAAUACCCCCUGUGCGUGAAUUACUGAAAGACCACAGACUACACAGACCUCACAUACUACACAGACCACACAGGCUUAUACUAGGACCAGACCAGGCCAAGUACCCAUUUAAAAUAAAACCAAUCUCAGCCCA